ACAUCCAGAGAAUUUAGCAGAGAUGCUUUAGUGCCUUCGGGAACUCUGAGACAGGUGCUGCAUGGCUGUCGUCAGCUCGUGUUGUGAAAUGUUGGGUUAAGUCCCGNAACGAGCGCAACCCUUAUCCUUUGUUGCCAGCACGUAAUGGUGGGAACUCAAAGGAGACUGCCGGUGAUAAACCGGAGGAAGGUGGGGAUGACGUCAAGUCAUCAUGGCCCUUACGAGUAGGGCUACACACGUGCUACAAUGGCGCAUACAAAGAGAAGCGACCUCGCGAGAGCAAGCGGACCUCAUAAAGUGCGUCGUAGUCCGGAUUGGAGUCUGCAACUCGACUCCAUGAAGUCGGAAUCGCUAGUAAUCGUAAAUCAGAAUGUUACGGUGAAUACGUUCCCGGGCCUCGUACACACCGCCCGUCACACCAUGGGAGUGGGUUGCAAAAGAAGUAGAUAGCUUAACCUUCGGGAGGGCGUUUACCACUUUGUGAUUCAUGACUGGGGUGAAGUCGUAACAAGGUAAGCGUAGUGCU
rnacentral:rRNA from 1 species